UACGUAGGGUGCAAGCGUUGUCCGGAAUUAUUGGGCGUAAAGAGCUCGUAGGCGGUUCGUCACGUCGGCUGUGAAAACCUGAGGCUCAACCUCAGGCCUGCAGUCGAUACGGGCGGACUUGAGUACUGCAGGGGAGACUGGAAUUCCUGGUGUAGCGGUGAAAUGCGUAGAUAUCAAGUGGAACACCAGUGGCGAAGGCGAGUCUCUGGACAUUUCCUGACGCUGAGGCACGAAAGCCAGGGGAGCAAACGGG
rnacentral:rRNA from 1 species